UACGGAGGGGGCGAGCGUUAUUCGGAAUUAUUGGGCGUAAAGGGCGCGUAGGCGGCUAGAUGUGUCAAAGGUGAAAUCCCUCGGCUCAACUGAGGAACUGCCUUUGAAACUGUCUGGCUUGAGGCCGGGAGAGGGUAGCGGAAUUCCCAGUGUAGCGGUGAAAUGCGUAGAUAUUGGGAGGAACACCAGUGGCGAAGGCGACUACCUGGCCUGUUCUUGACGCUGAGGCGCGAAAGCUAGGGGAGCAAACGGG
rnacentral:rRNA from 1 species